rnacentral:rRNA from 1 species
CCAGACUCCUACGGGAGGCAGCAGUAGGGAAUCUUUCACAAUGGGGGAAACCCUGAUGCAGCAACGCCGCGUGCAGGAUGAAGGCCUUCGGGUUGUAAACCGCUGUUAUAAGCGAGGAAUAUGAUGGUAACUUAUGAAUAAGGUUCGGCUAACUACGUGCCAGCAGCCGCGGUAAUACAGAGGGAUCAAGCGUUGUUCGGAAUCACUGGGCGUAAAGCGUGCGUAGGCUGUUUCGUAAGUCGUGUGUGAAAUGCACGGGCUCAACCCGCGGACGGCACUUGAUACUGCUAGACUAGAGUAAUGGAGGGGGAACCGGAAUUCUCGGUGUAGCAGUGAAAUGCGUAGAGAUCGAGAGGAACACUAGUGGCGAAGGCGGGUUCCUGGACAUUAACUGACGCUGAGGCACGAAGGCCAGGGGAGCGAAAGGGAUUAGAUACCCGAGUA